AUUGAACGCUGGCGGCAUGCCUUACACAUGCAAGUCGAACGGUAACAGAUCUUCGGAUGCUGACGAGUGGCGAACGGGUGAGUAAUACAUCGGAACGUGCCCGAUCGUGGGGGAUAACGAAGCGAAAGCUUUGCUAAUACCGCAUACGAUCUCAGGAUGAAAGCAGGGGACCGCAAGGCCUUGCGCUCACGGAGCGGCCGAUGGCAGAUUAGGAAGUUGGUGGGAUAAAAGCUUACCAAGCCGACGAUCUGUAGCUGGUCUGAGAGGACGACCAGCCACACUGGGACUGAGACACGGCCCAGACUCCUACGGGAGGCAGCAGUGGGGAAUUCUGGACAAUGGGCGCAAGCCUGAUCCAGCCAUGCCGCGUGCAGGAUGAAGGCCUUCGGGUUGUAAACUGCUUUUGUACGGAACGAAAAGACUCUGGUUAAUACCUGGGGUCCAUGACGGUACCGUAAGAAUAAGCACCGGCUAACUACGUGCCAGCAGCCGCAGUAA
rnacentral:rRNA from 1 species